rnacentral:rRNA from 1 species
GACGUAGGGCGCGAGCGUUGUCCGGAUUUAUUGGGCGUAAAGAGCUCGUAGGCGGCUUGUCGCGUCGUCCGUGAAAACCUGCAGCUCAACUGCAGGCUUGCGGGCGAUACGGGCAGGCUAGAGUUCGGUAGGGGAGACUGGAAUUCCUGGUGUAGCGGUGAAAUGACGCGAGAUAUCAGGAGGAACACCGAUGGCGAAGGCAGGUCUCU